AAGUGGAAUUGCCCAAUCCACAAUAGAAGGUGGUGAAUGCCCCACAUCAAUGGCCUUCCUUCCACUAAUGAUCUCCAACAACAAAAUCCCAAAACUAAAGACAUCAGUUUUAGUACUCAAAUUAUCUGGAGUAACAUAACACGGAUCAAGAUAACCAAUGGUACCAGCAGGUGGGGUUGAUUUAAGUCUAUAAUCAUCAUCGAUACCACACCUUAGUGCUAAACCAAAAUCACC
rnacentral:misc_RNA from 1 species